UACGGAGUGUGCAAGCGUUACUCGGAAUCACUGGGCAUAAAGCGCACGUAGGCGGAUCUUUAAGUCAGGGGUGAAAUCCCGAGGCUCAACCUCGGAACUGCCUUUGAUACUGGGGAUCUCGAGUCCGGGAGAGGUGAGUGGAACUGCGAGUGUAGAGGUGAAAUUCGUAGAUAUUCGCAAGAACACCAGUGGCGAAGGCGGCUCACUGGCCCGGAACUGACGCUGAGGUGCGAAAGCGUGGGGAGCGAACAGG
rnacentral:rRNA from 1 species